CUCUCUCUCUCUCUCUCUCUGAGAUCGAUACCAUCGUCUAUGGCUGAACGCAGCAAGUUCGUUUACGUUGCCAAGCUCGCUGAGCAGGCGGAGCGCUAUGAUGAGAUGGUGGAUGCCAUGAAAAAUGUGGCAAAGCUUGAUGUGGAAUUGACAGUUGAAGAGCGGAAUUUGCUCUCAGUUGGGUACAAGAAUGUGAUUGGUGCUAGGAGAGCAUCAUGGAGAAUUCUGUCGUCCAUUGAACAAAAGGAAGAAGCCAAAGGGAAUGAAGUUAAUGCAAAGCGGAUCAAGGAAUAUAGACAGAAGGUCGAAUCAGAGCUUACAAAUAUCUGCAAUGAUAUCAUGACCAUAAUAGAUGAGCAUCUCAUACCAUCUGCUUCUGCUGGUGAAUCAACAGUGUUCUUCUAUAAGAUGAAGGGAGAUUAUUAUCGGUAUCUUGCAGAAUUCAAAACUGGUAAUGAGAAAAAGGAAGCUGCUGAUCUUUCUAUGAAAGCAUAUGAGACAGCUACUACUGCUGCGGAGGCUGAUUUGCCUCCUACACAUCCUAUCCGAUUGGGUUUGGCAUUGAAUUUCUCAGUGUUCUAUUAUGAGAUCUUGAAUUCACCUGAAAGGGCCUGCCACCUUGCAAAGCAAGCUUUCGAUGAAGCAAUCUCAGAGCUUGACAAUUUAAAUGAGGAAUUGUAUAAGGAUAGCACCUUAAUAAUGCAGCUUCUCAGGGACAACCUGACCUUGUGGACUUCUGACAUCCCAGAGGAUGGAGGUAAUUGUCAUAAUCAAUACAUGCUUGGUCAAAAUUCUAACUCUAGUUACAUAGUUAUUUUUAUGGUUAAGCUUGUUUUUACCCUUUCUUUCUGUCUAAGGUACAUGCUAUUUAGAUGUUUCUUUAUAGUCACAUAAUGCUAUGCUAUUUUACAUGUAUCUGAUUAAGUUUAUUUCCAUCAUCAUUUCAUCAGAAUGAAAUGAAAUUCUACUUGUCUUUAUUAGCUAUUUUACAUUGAUCUGAUUAAGGUUAUUUCCAUCAUCAUUUCGUCACAAUGAAAGGAAAUUCUACUUGUCUUGAUAUUUGCUUUGGCUGCAUUGAUAAUUGUUAAUAAACCAUGACAGUGAUGGCAUCUGGAGAAAGACAGUUGCUUGCUGUGUAUAUAUUACUUCAAUUUAUUAUGAAAUGAAGCUUUGAAUCAUUGAUGUAGGAUUAAAUGUUGCAUACUGACGUGGGGCAGCUUGCAGGUUUUGUCAUCUAGAUAUAGUUUGAGUUAAUUUAGAAGCUAGGAAUGGGUAGAAACUCAAAUAGGCAACUGAGGCUAUCUUUGGAUGACUGAAAUAAGAAUUUGCAGGUUUUCAGAUCUGCUUGGAGUAAAAAAAUAAAGGGAACAAAUGAAUGGAUUUAAUUAUCUUUAUAUAGAUAUGCAUAAGCGAACAAAUCCACAGAGCUUUCACGUUUCUAGUGGACCAUUGUUUGCCAAUCACAUUUGCUUUUAGUUUUUACUCCCAAUCACCAUCUGCUUGAUCUGUAAUUUCCUUCGACUCUUUCUGCAACAGAAGAUGCCCAGAAAGUCAAUGGCACUGCCAAAGUAGGUGGGGCAGAGGAUGCAGAGUGAUGCAUGCCUCCCUACAUCUUGUUCAGGGUAAAAGAUGAGACCUGAUUAUCCAUUGUGGUGUUUACUGUUUAGUAAAAGAUGGAAUUUCAUUGCUUUUUCUUUGUUUGCAUUUCUAUUCCCCAAGUGCCAUAUUGUGUUGUGAUUUAUAGUGAUGUCUGGACGAUAUUGGUCUAGCCCCUUCAGAUGUGGUGGAUGGAGUGUAAAGCAUUGGCAUGCUUGCUUAGGUGGUUUUUUUCUUGCUUUGUUGUAAAUUGGAGAGCAAGAAUUAUGUCUGGUUUUCCUCACAAAUCCAGAAAUUUGAAGCCUGAUACCUGCAUAUAUAGUUAAUCUGCUUUCAUAUCAACAUGUAUGUUUUCAACUGUUGUGACUAUCACUAUCAAUGCGCUGUAAUGGCUGAAAGUUGUUGCAUUGUGAAUCUUCUUGAUGUAGAAUAUUUUACUUUCGGUCAUGGGACAUCAAUGCUUUUACCUUGUCUGUGAAACCAGAACGAGAACAUUGAUGUUUCAUUGAAGAAUCGUUUCGAAGGCUGCAUGCAACUUGAUGCAUUAGCUUUUAAACAGAAUGGUAUUACCCUAACGAAUAUUGGAUGGUUCGGAUGGAUAGAUUAUUCUCUUGAAAGAAGCUGAAAGCAUUGAUUUUGAGGAGAGCAUAUGAUUGACAUGGGGAUCUAGGAAUAUUACCCUAACGAAUAUAGGAUGGUUCGGAUGUAUAUAGAUUCUCUUGAAAGAAGCUGAAAGCA
rnacentral:misc_RNA from 1 species